CCACCGGAAGGGUGGGGCAGUGUUGGCUGGGAAAGAAUCUUCCGGAAGUCUGUGUCCUAGAAGUUAUCCCCGCACAAGCCACAGGCGCCUGAGCUCCACAUUUUGGAGAAAAGGAAUGGUUAGAAUCAUGGCAGGAUUGCUGAGGCAGUGAAUUGAAGAGGCUGCGUAGUGCUUGCAACCAGUUACCAUAUUUCCCUGGAGGAAUCACCAGCAACCGACUCUCCCAGGACUUACGAGGUGCUUCCCUUAUCACCAGCCGUCUCAGCACAAGUAGUAGUGGCAGGCACAGUGUGCAUUUUGGGUUACAAGCCAUUGCUUGUUGGACUUCUCUGCCAGCCUCUUUACUCAAUUCUCACCGUCCCGGAGCAGAGAACUUCAUUAGAGAAGUAGUGAGACUUUUUCAGUUUCAAAAAUUUAGGUCAGUGCCAGAUCUUCAGCAUCCUUUGUUUGAAGGCAACAGAAACAGGCUCAGCUGAUUGGUGUCAGUUAUUGGAAGCUCAUGGAAUUGAAGAAAAAAAGCGUGGAAAGUCAAAUAACGUGGAGUCUUCCGUUUCAACUGAAGGAGGGCCAGGGACAAAGCAGGUGAUCUUAGAUGCCCCAGGGACCCAGAAGCCAGGCUCAAAGGCUCAGUCCCCACCCUCCUGAACACAGGCACUCUCAAUCAGCUGGCUGAGUUCCUUGUUUGAAGACACUGGAAGACGGAUUCACUGCAGAGGCCCCUGACAGUGACUGAUUGUCCACUGAGAGGCAGUUGUAUAAGAUCAAUGUCAUUCACAAGAGAAGCAAGGAGAAACACACAGCUUUCUAGACACUGGACCGUUUAGUUGUUACAAGCAUACGUACAUUUUAUAAAACAGUAAUUAUAUUGUAGAUAUGGUUUUUAUCCUCAUAGUUAUUUUUGUACAAUUAUGAAAUGCAAGGUUAUUGCUGAGAGAUUCAUCCAUGCUACAGCCAUUGCAAAUUACAUCUUAUCACUAAGCAGGUGCCCCACCUCCUUAUUUUUUCUUAUUAGUAAAAACAUAUUUGUGAUUUAAAU
rnacentral:lncRNA from 1 species